rnacentral:rRNA from 1 species
UUAGAGUUUGAUCCUGGCUCAGAUUGAACGCUGGCGGCAGGCCUAACACAUGCAAGUCGAGCGGAUGAGUGGAGCUUGCUCCAUGAUUCAGCGGCGGACGGGUGAGUAAUGCCUAGGAAUCUGCCUGGUAGUGGGGGAUAACGUUUCGAAAGGAACGCUAAUACCGCAUACGUCCUACGGGAGAAAGUGGGGGAUCUUCGGACCUCACGCUAUCAGAUGAGCCUAGGUCGGAUCAGCUAGUUGGUGGGGUAAUGGCCCACCUAGGCGACGAUCCCUAGCUGGUCUGAGAGGAUGACCAGCCACACUGGAACUGAGACACGGUCCAGACUCCUACGGGAGGCAGCAGUGGGGAAUAUUGCACAAUGGGCGCAAGCCUGAUGCAGCCAUGCCGCGUGUAUGAAGAAGGCCUUCGGGUUGUAAAGUACUUUCAGCGGGGAGGAAGGCGACAAGGUUAAUAACCUUGUCGAUUGACGUUACCCGCAGAAGAAGCACCGGCUAACUCCGUGCCAGCAGCCGCGGUAAUACGGAGGGUGCAAGCGUUAAUCGGAAUUACUGGGCGUAAAGCGCACGCAGGCGGUCUGUCAAGUCGGAUGUGAAAUCCCCGGGCUCAACCUGGGAACUGCAUUCGAAACUGGCAGGCUAGAGUCUUGUAGAGGGGGGGUAAAUUCCAGGUGUAGCGGUGAAAUGCGUAAAGAUCUGGAGGAAUACCGGGGCCGAAGCGGCCCCUGGACAAAAACUGACGCUCAGGGGAAAGCGUGGGGAGCAACAGAAUAAAUCCUGUAAUCCCCGCGAACGAUGUGAUUGGAGGUGGGCCUUGAGCGGGCUUCCGAACUAACGCUAAUCACCGCUGGGAAACCGGCCAGGUUAACCCAUGAAUGAGGGGCCCGCCAGAGGGGAAUGGGUUAAUCUGCAGCGAAAACUACUGGCUGACCCCAAUAAAGUCUGGGCUUGGAUGG